rnacentral:rRNA from 1 species
UCGCCUGUUUAUCAAAAACAUCGCCUCCUGCAACACAACCAAGUAUAGGAGGUCCAGCCUGCCCGGUGACUACAAGUUUAACGGCCGCGGUAUUUUGACCGUGCAAAGGUAGCGUAAUCACUUGUCUUCUAAAUAAAGACCUGUAUGAAUGGCCAAACGAGGGCUUAACUGUCUCCCCUUUCCAGUCAGUGAAAUUGAUCUGCCCGUGCAGAAGCGGACAUAAUAAUACAAGACGAGAAGACCCUUUGGAGCUUAAGGUACAAAAMUCAACCACGUAAAGCAACUCAAUAAAAAGAACAAACUUUGUGGAACAUGAAAUUUUACCUUCGGUUGGGGMGACCACGGAGAAAAAUAAAUCCUCCAAGUGGAUUGGGAUUAAACCCCCUAAAACCAAGAGAGACAUCUCUAAGCCACAGAACAUCUGACCAAACAUGAUCCGGCUAAUAAAGCCGAUCAACGGACCAAGUUACCCUAGGGAUAACAGCGCAAUCCUCUCCCAGAGUCCAUAUCGACGAGGGGGUUUACGACCUCGAUGUUGGAUCAGGACAUCCUAAUGGUGCAGCCGCUAUUAAGGGUUCGUUUGUUCAACGAUUAAAGUCCUACGUGAUCUGAGUUCAGACCGGA